CGCUUCUGGAGCUGACGCCGCAUAGGACGGCGGUGUGCCAUCUAGUGCAGGUCUGCGCGUCGCCGGGGGCGCAGGAAGAGGGGCCCCUAGCCGGGCUGCCAUUCCCGUUCGAGUCCGUCGCCCACCACAACUGCCUCGGGCUCUUCUUCUUCUCCCUCACCCAGAAACACCAAUUGUGGAUGGUGAUUGUGCUCAAUCUUCCAUGUUAUUGAGGAUUUUAGGCAGUCUAAGUAUGUUGGAGCAGAUUGGCCGAACAAUUUAACAAAAGGAACAAGUGAGGCGGUUCAUCGUCUCCCCAUAAUCAAAAUGCAGGCCCCUCAUAUGGAAACCGUAAUGCCCCACAGUGUAUGAAGUCUGGUACUUUUCUCAAGACAUGAUGGUUUUUAGGUAAGUUUCGGUAUAUGAAUUCCUCGGUAUGUACUACAGGUGCUGGUCGUGAAGGAUCACUUGGAAGGACAUACGAUUCAAAAGGAACAUCUAACAACAAAGAAAAUUGUAUAUUCAAUUAACACUCAUAAUAUAGUACUAAAAUGUGAAGUUGAAAUGGAAAAUAGAGAAUGGGCAUACCUUGUUCAGUAAAUAUUCUAGCUUCUUCAUCAGGCUCAUGGAAUGCACCUUGUUCACUUUGCACCGUCCCCUCGCAAGCUAGGAGGUAAUAUAUUGGUCAAACAUAAUUGUUUUCGUGAAGAAUUUGGAGUGUGCAAGACAAUAUAUAAAUGUACCCUCUAAAUUGGAUUGUUGAAAAAUGGGCUCAAAUAUUCCAUAUGGAUCAUCUGCCUGCUCGUUGCCUACUAUGAAAAUCAUCAGAUGAGUAGAGCAUAAUAACAAUAUAAGUAUUGUAGCAGAUGUAGGGUUAAUCAUCUUACUUUGCAGUUCUCCAUUGGUUUGACCAGCAUUCUCAGACAUACAUUUAGUUCGGGUAUUUUGAGGUUGAUUGGAGCCAAUAGAAGGGUAUGUAACUGAAUAAAGAAAAGAUAAUUACGGUGAAAUAAACAAUGUGCCUUAUGUUGCACUAAUAAAUAAACCAAUGGACUAACACGCCUGUUGAAUUAUGCAAUCUUGGUUGGUUAGGUUGAUAAUUUUUCCAAGUUGGGGUAGGUCAAAACCUUCCAGUAGGGUGAUGGGAUAUGAAUAGUGUUUCAAUCAUAUUAAGAUCCACCAUAAAGCUGAUAAUACUUUUACUUAUUUGAAAUACUAUCCUAUGCGAACACAAUGACAUUACCUUGUGAACUAUCCCGUGCGAUGGUGGAAAUUGUCUGCGGUUCCUGACCAAGAGGCAUCGCUACAACUCUCAUCCUUCCUGCAAUUUGUUGCAUUUGGUAUGCACCAUUCCUGUGCAACCAACUGUUAUCAUCUUUGUCUGUUGCAUUAUUCUCCUUCUGGUGUGGGAUGCCUCCAAGUGAUUGUGAACCAUUUGGUAGAUUCGGUAAGCCUUCAAGAUAUGACAUUGCAGACCGCACAUAAUAAUUAACAAUUUUCCAGCUAAAAGUAAAUAAGCAUUAAAUAAUUUGUGGUAUUAUGCAACCUGCACAGGAUAUGUUGUGUAGUUGGAUGACAGCCGAUUGUCCUGUUGCUGGUGUCUGUGACACACUGUCACCGCCGUUGAGGAGGGCAGAUGCAUUUUUUUUCUGCUCACGUGAUUGGCGUUGUCGUUUUAAUAUUUCCUCUCUAUUCUGUGAAUAAUACAACCUUUGCCGCUGCCUCUUUGUCUCUUUAAGAUCUGCAUAUAUAGACGAAAAAACAAAUUAGUAGAAAAAAGUAGGGGUGUAUGCAGUGGUUGAUCGUCAUUACCAAGAGAUACGGCGGACACUGGUGUGUGUGUCUCAUUUUCUUGGUCAUUGUUAUGGCUAGGAGCAGAAGCCACAUUUUUCUGACUGUAAGCUUCACGUUGCCUCUUUAAUAUCUUGUCCCUAUUUUGUGAAUACCGUUCCCUCUCCCGUUGCCUCUUUAGUUCCAGAGCGUCUUCAUUACUUUGGGACAUGGACAGGGGUGUAUGUGGUACAUUUUGCUUGUCAUUAGGCAGGGUUACUGAAUUUUUUUUCUUUUCAUUGGAUUCACGCCGUCUUUGCUGAAUAUCAUCUUUAUAUCGUGCAUAAUAUUCUCUGUCCCUCUGUCUCUUCAAUGUUUUAGGGUCUGUGUACAUCCAUACCGUUAUUUAGCAGUACAUCAAAAUAUCAGUCAGUAGGCAUUGUUUGCUGACACUUACCCAAGGAGCUGGUGUUGCUUAUAUCCUGAAGAGGGGUGCGUCCCACAUCACGAUUCGGAGAUGCCAUCCUAGAAGCUUAUCCAGGGAACAGUACAACAACAAUAGUGUUCAUAUGAAUAUGCAUGGCAUUAAUUAAAUAAACAGGUUUUCCUUUUUUCCGAUAAUAUUUUAAGCAGUGACGGUGGUGUUUGAUGAAACAAGUGUUUUUUCAAAGAAUAGGAUAUCUCGGGUAAUAAGCUUGAUUCUCUAUCGUUUUCUAUCAA